AGGAAGGAGGCCAGCGGCCAGGACGACGCCAUGGUCUAACCCUGCUUUGCUCCUUCCCCACCAUGACCACACCAUGGAAGCAGCAGCAGGGUUCCUUGGUGGGUACAUCAGCAGCAGAAAGAGGACACCAUGGUGGGUACGGCAGCAACGGCUCGAUGGACGCAUGGACGCCACCAUGGAAGCAUGAAUGUGCUUAUUUCUCCAUCCCUUUGCACUGGCAUGGGGUGGUAGCAUUGUUUACUGGAUGAUUACCAAUGGAGUCAUUUCGGCUAAGAAAAUCUGCGGGGCUGGAGGCGGCAUUCGGGGUUGGAGAUGGCAUGAGAAGCAGAGCUCCUUGUGCCACUCUCUCUACAAAGAAAGUGUAGUCUGCAAGCUUAUCAAAUCUGGGUACUGUUUGUAGAAGUGCAGCACCAUGCAUCAAUCUCAUUUUUGUGUGUGCAAAUUAUCUGUGCCUACAUGGUGCUAUGAAAAUUCAAGCGGGCUGAAGUAAAGAUUACUCUAUGUCGCCGCUGGAGCGGGACAAGAUCAUGGCUUGCCUUACAUGGUGACGUACCGACUAGGAAGAGUGCAAGCUGCCGCCCACAUGUACCAGAUGGUGCCGUCAAGGACAUUGUCGUACUGACUGCCGAUGAUCUACAGAAAGUUGUUGCUUCCCCUGGCCGUGGGAUCCUUGCGAUCGACGAGUUGAGUGCAACAUGUGGAAAGAGAUUGGCAUCCAUUGGUUUGGACAACAUGGAAGUUAACCGCCAGGCUUACAGUCCACUACAGAUGGCAAGACCUUUGUUGGCAUCUUGAAGGACCAGAAUAUCAUGCCCCGUAUCAAGGUUGACAAGGUGAUGAUGACAUGGCUAUCCAUGUUCUGCAACAUGCGAGAAGUGAAGAUGAACCAUCCAAAGGGAUUUAUGGUGGAUGACCACCAGGUACGAGAGAGCGCAAGACGCAACCACCACCAACUACCAGAGGGCGCCAUCAAGGAUGUCAUCGUACUGAUUGCCAAUUACCUACAGGUUAGGAGUAUCUGAUGUGGUGGUCUUGAUGUUGCGCCAUCAAGGAUGUCGUCGUACUGAUUGCCGAUUACCUACAGGUCCAUCUCUCCCCCUCUCUCAGAUUUCAAGCUCAAUUCUCUCUUAUUUUGCUGAAUGGAAGUGGCCUGAAAGCCACUCGACUGAAAUCAUGUGUGUUGCGAUAUGCCAAUUGCUUUUGAUCUUGGGUAAAGAAUAUCAUGCUGUUAUGUUUGGAAGGCAUUGAUUGCUUUGUUUUACAUUUAGCGUUUGGCACGAUUCAUGUUGAUGAUGUUUAGUAGAAGACUGCGGUAGAGGUUGUGUUUUGAUGCUUUGGAUGGAUCCAGCUACCGAUUUACCAAUGCUACUGUUUGUGGUCUCAUACCUCUCUAUCAUGAUUCUCCCAAUCUGAAAUAGAGAAACAUUACUUUGUUUGACAUGGUUUGUCUACACUUAUCUUUAAGGCUACAACCUGGAGUCUCAUGGAGGUGUGAAGAUGAUACCUAAGUAGUCUAGGACAUUGCUUUGUUAGGGGUUCGCCUAUGUACAAGAAUGACAUGUUUCUUUCCCAUGUAAUAUAUUGUGAUUUUUUUUUGCUCAACAUCAUCUGGACUAUGUAUCUUUCUAUGGUAGUAAACUUUAUCCUGCUUUUUGGUUUGGAUCUGAGCACUAUUUGGAUAAGCUGCAAACUUUGUUUUAGAUUAGUACUUGCUCUCUCAUGUUUGCGCUUAGUACUGAACUUAGUGUCAAGUGGUUACCUUACGUGGUCUCAUGAUCGCACUGAACUACUCUAUGCUACCUUAAAAUCUCAUGACGAUGUUGAACUUAGAUGAUGUCUUGCUUCUAUGACAAGUAAAUGUUUCAUCUUUCUUUUAUUUUGUUUAAUACAUAUGCUAAACGAGGAUUCAUACUAACACGAACAUUACUUCUUGAUCACAUCGUUGUGAACGGCACCCCCGCGCCAAGGCGCGAUCCUGAUCUAGUUGUGGGUGGAGACUGGAGAGAGAUAGAAAGAUAGAAAGAGGGCUAGAACUGGAAGGGAAGACGUGGAGGAAUGGAAAGUGGUGCAUAAGAUUGAUCUCCACCAUCCAUUGUACGCUAUGUCAGAUCACAGGAGUCCAUCGAUCAUUGAACAGGUGGAUGUCCGGACGGGGCAAGCUUUGAAGAGGACAAGUCAUCUCUGUGCAUGUGUGGGUGGAAUGGAAUUGCCGGAUUUCUUGUCGUCGCGAGUGUUUUCCCUCGAUUGGUUGUUGCAGUCAUGAAACACAACAGACGGGAUGGUUUGAAUCUUACAAAAAUCAAGUAUAUAUACUUUCUUUUCAUC